GGGGGUGAAAUGGAUUUCGACAGGAAUGUGAAAGUUUUAAUUGCAUGUCCCAAGUCUCAGUCAUUGGGUUAAAACGGCUGGAAAACAUAAACGCAAAUGAUGACGUUGCUUUCGCAGCAGCUGCUUAAUUAGUAGUUAAUGCGAUGUCUUGUUCUUUUUCGCCUUACGAAAAGUACAGGGCAUAAUCACAGUAAGGAUCGCUUUGAAAUAUGUGUCUAGAUAUAAUAAGUUAAAUUUUAUAGACUAUCCUGUUAUAAAUUUUGCUAGUAAAAGUUAUAAUGGGUAAAGCAAAAUACUAGAUAAACAUGUAGACAUUUCAAUAAUAACAUUUUUGGACCUGGGUUCGACUCCCAGCAUCUCCACUA
rnacentral:tmRNA from 1 species